ACUCCCAACAGUAUUAAGGGUCCCGCCUGCCCAGUGAUGACAUUUUAACGGCCGCGGUAUCCUAACCGUGCAAAGGUAGCGCAAUCACUUGUUCUUUAAAUGAGGACUAGUAUGAACGGCGACAUGAGGAUCAUCUUGUCUCUCACGCUAAGUCAAUGAAACUGAUCUCCCGGUCCAAAAGCCGAGAUACACCCACAAGACGAGAAGACCCUGUGGAGCUUCAAAUUGCGCCUCAUACAAGCCUGAGCCCGCAAUUUUUGGUUGGGGCGACCUUGGAGCAAAACAAAACCUCCAAAAAGCUUACUUUUUAGGCCCACACGCCACAAUAUCUUAAACCCCUUCGACCCAAUAUAAUUGAUCAAUGAACCAAGUUACCCCAGGGAUAACAGCGCAAUCUUCUUUUAGAGUUCCUAUCGACAGGAAGGUUUACGACCUCGAUGUUGGAUCCGGAUACCCAAAUGGUGCAGCCGCUAUUAAAGGUUCGUUUGUUCAACGAUUAAUAAUCCCACGUGACGGCGGAAUUUAGGAACAUUUUUUUUUUUUACCACUUUCUGUCCCACGGACGAAACAUCCUCCUAACUACACGAUAACAUAAUCCCCAUCCUUCCACCUGACGUGGGGACGGGACGCGACCACCCUCACCUCCAAACAUCUUUUUUGGCUCUUUUGCCACAUAAAAAACCCUAAAUA
rnacentral:rRNA from 1 species